rnacentral:rRNA from 1 species
GAUGAAUGCUGGCGGCGUGCCUAACACAUGCAAGUCGAGCGGCAGCGAGGGGUGCUUGCACCCUGUCGGCGAGCGGCGAACGGCUGAGUAACGCGUAGGAAUUUGCCCCAAAGUGAGGAAUAACUGCCCGAAAGGGUAGCUAAUGCCGCAUAUGGUCUUCGGAUUAAAGGAUUUAUCCGCUUUGGGAGAAGCCUGCGUUGGAUUAGGUUGUUGGUAGGGUAAUGGCCUACCAAGCCGACGAUCCAUAGCUGGUCUGAGAGGAUGAUCAGCCAGACUGGAACUGAGACACGGUCCAGACUCCUACGGGAGGCAGCAGUGAGGAAUCUUCCACAAUGGGCGAAAGCCUGAUGGAGCAACGCCGCGUGAAGGAUGAAGGCCUUCGGGUUGUAAACUUCUUUUAUGAGUGAAGAAUAUGACGGUAACUCAUGAAUAAGCACCGUCUAACUACGUG